UACAACAUGGACAUUAUCAGACAUGGUCACCUCAUCUUUUUGAUCUCUCUGCUUUGGAUGAAAGGUCUAAUUCAUGCCAAUGAUGUCACACAAACCUCAAUGCUAUGGAAAAACCAAGGUGCUGAUGCAACAAUAAGCUGCAGCCACACCAAGGGUGCUACCUAUUUCCAGAUGUACUGGUACAGACAGCUGCCAGGAUUAAAUAUGGAACUGAUUGUGUUCACAACAACAGCCAAAAAAGGUGAUCACGACUUUGGAAAAUUCAGCAAAGACAAAUUCUCAGCCACAAAGACUGAGGCUGAAAAUGGGGAUUUCACAGUGAAGAACCUGGAGCCAAAAGACAGUGGCUUGUAUUUCUGUGCUGUCAGUGAGCACAGUGAUACAGACACAUGUGAAAGCUGA